rnacentral:rRNA from 1 species
GCAGUCGAGCGAAGAGAUGGGAGCUUGCUCCCAGAUCUUAGCGGCGGACGGGUGAGUAACACGUGGGCAACCUGCCCUGCAGACUGGGAUAACUCCGGGAAACCGGAGCUAAUACCGGGUAAUACAUCGCACCGCAUGGUGCAAUGUUGAAAGUUGGCUUUCUGAGCUAACACUGCAGGAUGGGCCCGCGGCGCAUUAGCUAGUUGGUAAGGUAAUGGCUUACCAAGGCAACGAUGCGUAGCCGACCUGAGAGGGUGAUCGGCCACACUGGGACUGAGACACGGCCCAGACUCCUACGGGAGGCAGCAGUAGGGAAUCUUCCGCAAUGGACGAAAGUCUGACGGAGCAACGCCGCGUGAGUGACGAAGGCCUUCGGGUCGUAAAGCUCUGUUGUUAGGGAAGAACAAGUACCGUUCGAAUAGGGCGGUACCUUGACGGUACCUAACCAGAAAGCCACGGCUAACUACGUGCCAGCAGCCGCGGUAAUACGUAGGUGGCAAGCGUUGUCCGGAAUUAUUGGGCGUAAAGCGCGCGCAGGCGGUCUUUUAAGUCUGAUGUGAAAGCCCACGGCUCAACCGUGGAGGGUCAUUGGAAACUGGAGGACUUGAGUGCAGAAGAGGAGAGUGGAAUUCCACGUGUAGCGGUGAAAUGCGUAGAUAUGUGGAGGAACACCAGUGGCGAAGGCGGCUCUCUGGUCUGUAACUGACGCUGAGGCGCGAAAGCGUGGGGAGCAAACAGGAUU